rnacentral:rRNA from 1 species
GACGGAGGGUGCAAGCGUUGUUCGGAUUGACUGGGCGUAAAGGGCGUGUAGGCGGUUGGUCAAGUCUGAUGUGAAAGCCCGGGGCUCAGCCCCGGAAGGGCAUCGGAAACUAGCCAGCUGGAGCGCGAUAGAGGAGGGUGGAAUUCCUGGUGUAGCGGUGAAAUGACGUAGAUAUCAGGAGGAACACCGGCGGCGAAGGCGGCCCUCUGGAUCGUUGCUGACGCUGAGACGCGAAAGCGUGGGGAGCAAACAGG